rnacentral:rRNA from 1 species
GAUGAACGCUGGCGGCGUGCCUAAUACAUGCAAGUCGAGCGAACAGACGAGGAGCUUGCUCCUUUGACGUUAGCGGCGGACGGGUGAGUAACACGUGGGUAACCUACCUAUAAGACUGGGAUAACUUCGGGAAACCGGAGCUAAUACCGGAUAAUAUUUCGAACCGCAUGGUUCGAUAGUGAAAGAUGGCUUUGCUAUCACUUAUAGAUGGACCUGCGCCGUAUUAGCUAGUUGGUAAGGUAACGGCUUACCAAGGCAACGAUACGUAGCCGACCUGAGAGGGUGAUCGGCCACACUGGAACUGAGACACAGUCCAGACUCCUACGGGAGGCAGCAGUAGGGAAUCUUCCGCAAUGGGCGAAAGCCUGACGGAGCAACGCCGCGUGAGUGAUGAAGGUCUUCGGAUCGUAAAACUCUGUUAUUAGGGAAGAAUAAACGUGUAAGUAACUGUGCACGUCUUGACGGUACCUAAUCAGAAAGCCACGGCUAACUACGUG